rnacentral:rRNA from 1 species
CCCGCACAAGCGGUGGAGCAUGUGGUUAAUUCGAAGCAACGCGAAGAACCUUACCAGGUCUUGACAUCCCGAUGCUAUUUCUAGAGAUAGAAGGUUACUUCGGUACAUCGGUGACAGGUGGUGCAUAGUUGUCGUCAGCUCGUGUCGUGAGAUGUUGGGUUAAGUCCCGCAACGAGCGCAACCCCUAUUGUUAGUUGCCAUCAUUCAGUUGGGCACUCUAGCGGGACUGCCGGUAAUAAACCGGAGGAAGUGGGGAUGACGUCAAAUCAUCAUGCCCCUUAUGACCUGGGCUACACACGUGCUACAAUGGUUGGUACAACGAGUUGCGAGUCGGUGACGGCGAGCUAAUCUCUUAAAGCCAAUCUCAGUUCGGAUUGUAGGCUGCAACUCGCCUACAUGAAGUCGGAAUCGCUAGUAAUCGCGGAUCAGCACGUCGCGGUGAAUACGUUCCCGGGCCUU